CGCCUAUAUGUCGUCGACACAACGCUUUUCGGUGACGUCAUUACAUCGCGCCAUACAGAAAGCUCUCUAAGCGUGGAAGAGUUUGACUGCCGGCUGCAAAAAUGUCCCGUCGAUAUGAUUCAAGAACAACCAUCUUCUCACCGGAGGGUAAAGAGCCUUUUAGAUAAUACUUCAUGUUGUU